rnacentral:lncRNA from 1 species
GUUUAUCCACAAAACAAAAAUAAGAAUCAAGCCAAACACCACAAAAGGCAUUAAAACAUCUAAAUGGGAAGACAAGGGAAAUGUUAUUGACACCAAAGAGAAAAAUCAUAAUGGAAAUCUGAGAGUGAAGAAAACUGUGAGGUUCAACAUACAGGAAAUGUUAAAAACUACAUUUCACUCUUUUAAAAUCAUCUAUUUUGCAAAUGUUUGUGUGAUGAUUUUGAUGUGUUGAGGUUUAGUAAAUGGGGGUUAAUUGUGAUGGACGAGUUUUUAAUUUUAUGUGUUUUCCCUAAAUCCUUUCUUGUGUGUUUUAUGUUUUUGAUCAAUUUUUGCCUCUGGUAUAUUUUCUGCUUUUGAUCAGUUUUAGCCAUUGAUUCUCUUUUUCUUCUUCUAUCUAUGAUUCUUUUCUUCUUCUGCAACUCUUCCAAGUUCUUUUGAUCAUACUACCUCUAAUCCACGUAUCCUAUGAUCAUGCUGCCUUUGAUUCAUGUAUCCUCUACCUUUGAUUUUGAUCAUUGUUCAACUGCCUCUGCUCUAAUCAUUAUUCACGACCUCUAACUCUGAUCAAUGUUCAUCUGUCUUUGACUCUUAUCAUUGUUCAUCUUCCUCUGGUUCAUGCAUCUCAGAUCAUACAACCUCUAGUCCAUGUAGCUGUUGAUCCUGUUGCCUCUGAUUCAAAAUUGUCAUGACUUUGUGCCUUUGAUUCGAGAACACCGUUGAUUGUAUUACCUCGAGUUAGAAUAAGUUCUCAUGAUUAAUGAAAGCUAUAGAUGUAUGCUCAGAUUUAGAAUUGGAAUGUUGAUGAAGUUAAUAACAUUUAUUCAAUUGGUGAUUGAGAUAUGCAUUGCAUGCAUGAUGCAAAAAUACGUUGCAUUUCAUAAAUAAAAUAAUGACAUGCAUAUUCCGGUGAGACAUUUCAGCUUUGUUUUAGGCCAGAUACAAUAGAUAAAGGUAAAACAAUUGAGACACCAAUUGGAGUCAUGGUUAGGCCACCUUUGCGAAAGACCCCAAUUACUG